rnacentral:rRNA from 1 species
CGGGUGAGUAACGCGUGAGGAACCUGCCUCAGAGUGGGGGAUAACACACCGAAAGGUGUGCUAAUACCGCAUAACAUAUGGGAGGGGCAUCCCUUUCAUAUCAAAGAUUUAUUGCUCUGAGAUGGCCUCGCGUCCAAUUAGCUAGUUGGCGGGGUAACGGCCCACCAAGGCGACGAUUGGUAGCCUGACUGAGAGGUUGAACGGCCACAUUGGGACUGAGACACGGCCCAGACUCCUACGGGAGGCAGCAG